rnacentral:ribozyme from 15 species
UGAUUCAGAUAAACAAACGAGCAACAAGAACUGGAAGGAAAACUAAGAAAAACAGACCCAAUAUGUAUACGUGCUUAUUGUUUUCCCUCUUUUCUG